UACGUGGGGUCCGAGCGUUGUUCGGAAUUACUGGGCGUAAAGCGCACAUAGGUGGGCAUGAAAGUCGAUUGUGAAAUCCCCGGGCUAAACCUGGGAACUGCAGUCGAAACGUCAUGUCUUGAGUGCCUGAGAGGGUGGGGGAAUUCCUGGUGGAGUAGUGAAAUACGUAGAGAUCAGGAGGAACACCGGAGGCGAAGGCGCCUACCUGGCGGUGCACUGACACUAAUUGUGCGAAAGCGCGGGGAGCAAACAGG
rnacentral:rRNA from 1 species